rnacentral:misc_RNA from 1 species
AUGUAGAAAUGCUGAAGGACAAGCAGGUCCAGAGACUGACCAACAAUAACGAAAGCAGCGGAAGUGUCAGUCCGCGGAGACAUUUGGAAUUGAUUGUGUCGUUUCUUUGUGUUACUCUCAUCCUUUUAAUUUAGAUAAUAUACAGUAUUCAAUAAUGUAUCAUAUGCAUGAAUGUUUUGUAUGAUAUUGUAUAUCGAAUAAAGGUAGAAGUAGCUACAUGUACGGGAAUUGGGUUUAUCCUGAGUAUAAACAGAUACUUCAGUGCUGUUGUCUCUGACUUCAAUUGUUCAUGCAUAGAAUGCAAUGUUUCUAACGCUUGUUUGCUUUUUUAAAUAAAUGACUUGU